rnacentral:rRNA from 1 species
AGUGAACGCUGGCGGCAGGCCUAACACAUGCAAGUCGAGCGGCAGCGGGUCCUUCGGGAUGCCGGCGAGCGGCGGACGGGUGAGGAAUACAUCGGAAUCAGCCCUGUCGUGGGGGAUAACCUAGGGAAACUUAGGCUAAUACCGCAUACGACCUACGGGUGAAAGCGGGGGAUCGCAAGACCUCGCGCGACAGGAUGAGCCGAUGUCCGAUUAGCUAGUUGGCGGGGUAAAGGCCCACCAAGGCGACGAUCGGUAGCUGGUCUGAGAGGAUGAUCAGCCACACUGGGACUGAGACACGGCCCAGACUCCUACGGGAGGCAGCAGUGGGGAAUAUUGGACAAUGGGCGCAAGCCUGAUCCAGCCAUGCCGCGUGGGUGAAGAAGGCCUUCGGGUUGUAAAGCCCUUUUGUCCGGGAAGAAAUCGUCUGGGCUAAUACCCCGGGCGGAUGACGGUACCGGAAGAAUAAGCACCGGCUAACUUCGUG